AAUUGGGUUGUAUUAUAAACCUCUAAGACGGAUAUUAGAGGUAGACUCAAUGUAAUAUACCGGAUUUUAAUAUAAAAGUAAAUAUAAAUAAAAAUAGUGUGAGAUACUAUUUUUAUUCGAUUUAAAAAAGUAAAACAUAAGUUGAAAAUGACUUGUGCUGAAGUCGGAAUGAAAAUAGAAGAUUUAGAAUUUUCUGUGAGAAACGGAGCUGAUAUUUUAGUAGAAAAUGCAGUGUCAGAAAAUUAUAAAAACUGGAGAGUAUGUCAAAAUUAUUUUUAUGAGACUAGAAUUAAAGUUUCAUGUCAUUCUGACACCAGGAAUGUGGAAAAUAAAAUCUGACUACUAUCUGUUAGAGAUUUCAGUUCGGUAGAACUUUCGGUGACAAAAAAUGGUCGAAACUGAAAAGUUAAGAUAUAUUACGUUUAUUUAGCAAAAACCGAGGCUGACUAUCAAAUUUGAGCGAAAACAGACAUUCCGAAGGCCCGGCGAAAAGUAUCUGAUCCUGAGCUGCUAAACUGAAAGUAAAUUGUAUUUAGU
rnacentral:lncRNA from 1 species